rnacentral:rRNA from 1 species
AUGUUCACCUACACCAGAAUAAAAGCCUCAACCUGUCAACAAAGAGCACAACAUCGUGUUGAGAGGGAAAAAAAGGAAAAAAAAGCUCCCGCGAUCGCCUGGCGAUCUGGCGGCGACGGAGAUAGAGAAAGGGGAGUAAUGGAGACGGGGAAUCCGGCGGAGGCCCCAGCGGCGCGUGACCCCAACGGGAGGGGGCGGGCAACAACGGCGUCCCAGGCGGAGUCAACGGAGCCUCGCGUCCUCAGUAGGGCGGGGAUCUCCGUCGGGGGCCCGGUGGGCAAUCUCGAUUGGGAAGAAAUCAAGGCCACGUCAAGGCGGAUCCUCCGGCAAUCUCUAAACCGGAAACGGUGCUGGAAGCGGAUGAAGAGGAGGGCGGAGGAGAUGAUGCGCAUGAAGCCAGAGAGGAGCUUCACUGAUCUGGCGGGGAGUGUGGAAGCCGGCGGCGACAACGGCGACAUAUCGGAGGUACUUCCAUAUAAUAGGGACAUAGUUUCUCAGGAUUUGACCCCGUUUGGGGUAGGGGGUCCGAUUUUGGAUGCUACUAGUAUGGAAACUACUGUGAUUGCGUUGGAUUACAGAGAGAUUCUUUCUCUGAGAGAUAUAAAAGAGAAAGAGGGAAAUUAG